AACGAACGCUGGCGGCAGGCUUAACACAUGCAAGUCGAACGGGUGCGGCAAUGCAUCAGUGGCAGACGGGUGAGUAACACGUGGGAACCUUCCUAGGGGUACGGAACAACUCAGGGAAACUUGAGCUAAUACCGUAUACGUCCGUGAGGAGAAAGAUUUAUCGCCCUUAGACGGGCCCGCGUCGGAUUAGCUAGUUGGUGGGGUAACGGCCUACCAAGGCGACGAUCCGUAGCUGAUCUUAGAGGAUGAUCAGCCACACUGGGACUGAGACACGGCCCAGACUCCUACGGGAGGCAGCAGUGGGGAAUCUUGGACAAUGGGCGCAAGCCUGAUCCAGCCACGCCGCGUGAGUGAAGAAGGUCUUCGGAUUGUAAAGCUCUUUUGCCAGGGACGAUAAUGACGGUACCUGGAGAAUAAGCCCCGGCAAACUUCGUGCCAGCCGCCGCUGUAACAC
rnacentral:rRNA from 1 species